AAACCUCACCCAGCCUGGACACUGACAGGAUUGACAGAUUGAGAGCUCUUUCUCAAUUCCAUGGGUGGUGGUGCCUGGACAUUCUUGGUGGAGUGAUUUGUCUGGUUAAUUUCAAUAAUAAACAAGACUGUGGCAUGCUACCUAGUUAUAAGACCCCCCUAGUGGUUGACGCCCAACUUUUUCAAGGGACAAGUGGCAUUCAGUAACAUGAGAUAGAGCAACAACAGGUCUGUGAUGCCCUUUACUGUG
rnacentral:ncRNA from 1 species